AUGCCAGCAACUGGGACUUCCUGUGGAAUGCAAGGGCAGUGGGGCCUCCGCGAGAGAGAGAGAGAGAGAGAGAGAGAGAAGAGAGAGAUAUUAAGGAUGAAUCCCAGUGUCUGCUCUGAGCAAAUUGGAAGACGAUGGCAUCAGGGGCACUGCUCUGGGCUAUAUAGACUGUGCCUCCACUAAAGGGUCCCUGAGACCAGGUGUGGGCCCGUAUCCCUGGAGGGAGAGGUAACUUCCUCUGAUUCGAAGGCAUCAUAUAGGCUAGUGAAUGGCACUGAGAAUGGCAGAUGCCAGGGACAAGCAGGAGCAUGUGUGGGAUGAGGAUGCGGCGUGGAUGUGUGACGUUUCAGAGCCUGCAACACAUCCGUAGGGAAGUCCUGGAGGAGCAGUUGGGUGCAUGGUGGAGUUCUGAAACAGCUGGGCAGUCGGCACUUGAGCCAGAGAUUCUGCUUUCGACCUGGAUGCCCAUUGAGAGGUUAAGAGCUCAGGUCUGGGUCAGGCAGCUUGGAAGCAGCACAGCUUGGACACUUGGUAGCCUGGGACUGUGGUUAAAUCAACGUGACUCUCGGAGCUCCAGUUCACUGUAAAUUAGGGCAGUAAAUGAUGUCUACAUGAUAAGUGGUGUUAUGAAUGUUAAACAUUCACAUGAAAUACAUAGAAUAGUGCUUAGCAUACAGUACACAAUAACUGUUAGCUAUUUGGAAAAUUACUAUUGUUAUUAUGAUUAUUUAUUACAGAGUGAACUGAAUUGGAUGCAAGAUCACGGUGCGUCAGAGCUAGCAAGAUCCUUAGGAUCAUUUAGCCUGGUUUACUAAUAUUACACUAUGGAAUUUAAGCCCAAGGAAUGGAGAGUACCCGACGAGCGUUAUGUAAGGAGUCGAGUGAGAAGUAAGCUGGAUGCUCUGCUUGGCUGGCAGGUACAGAAUGUGCCAGACCCAUCUGUACCAGCCUGGAUCUCUUGAGGCAUCAGCACAAUGGACCUGGCCACACCAGUUUAUUCCACACCGCUGAGGCUGGUACAGUUCUGGACAUGGACUUUGUAAAUAAAUAACUGGGCCUUUGGACCGACUCUCAGGAGAUGAAGAUCCAAUCACUCUAUCAAAGAAUAUGAGCAUUUCCGAGGCUCUUGUAAGACAUCCAGCCUCCAGAACUGUGAGUACUAUGCUGAAGAGAGCCCUCAUCAGCACCUGACCAACCUGACCAUGCUGCACCCUCAUCUUAGACGUUCAGCCUCCAGAACUGUGAAUACUAUGCUGAAGAGAGCCCUCACCAGCACCUGACCAUGCUGCACCCUCAUCUCAGAUGUCCAGCCUCCAGAACUGUAAUCCAAGAGCCAAAUCAUGAAUGAACUACCAUUCACAACUGCCACAAAAGAAUAAAAUAUGUAGGAAUACAUCUAACAGGGGAAGUGAAGGACCUUUUCGAGAAGAACUACAAACCACUGCUCAGAGAAAUCUGGGAUGACACAAACAAGUGGGAAAGCAUUCCAUGCUCAUGGAUAGGAAGAAUCAAUAUCAUGAAAAUGGCCAUAUUGCCCAAAGCGAUUUAUAGAUUCAAUGCUGUUCCCAUUAAACUACUAUUGAGAUUCUUCAUAGAAUUAGAAAAAACUUUUAAAAUUCAUAUGGGGCUGGGUGCAGCGGCUCACGCUUGUAAUCCCAGCACUUUGGAAGGCCGAGUUGGGAGGAUCACUUGAGUUCAGGGGUUCAAGACCAGCCUGGCCAACAUGGUGAAACCCCCAUCUCCACUGAAAAUACAAAAAUUAGCUGGGCAUGAUGGUUGGCAUCUGUAAUCCCAGCUACUCGGGAGACUGAGACAUGAGAAUCACUUGAACCUGGGAGGUGGAGGUUGCAGUGAGCCAGGAGCACACCACUGCACUCCAGCCUGGGUGACAGAGAGUCAGUCUCAAAAAAAAAAAAAAAAAUCAUAUGGAACUGAAAAAGAGCCUGAAUAGCCAAGACAAUCCUAAGAAAACAAACAAACAAACAAACAAACAAACCAAAGCUGGAGGCCUCUCCAAAUUAUACCACAAGACUACAGUAACUAAAAAAGCAUGGUACUGGUACAAGAACAGACACAGAGACCAAUGGAACAGAAUAGGGAACCCAGAAAUAAAACUGCACACCUACAAUCAUCUGAUCUUCAGCCAAGUCAACAAUAACAAGCAAUGGAAAAAGGAUUCCCUAUUUAAUAAACCAUGCUGGGAGAACUGGCUAGUCAUAUGGAAAAAAUGGAAACUUCUUUACAUUAUGUGCAAAAAUCACCUCAAGAUGGAUUAAAGACUUAAAUGUAAAACCCAAAACUAUAAAAACCCCAGACAAAAAUCUAGGCAAUACCAUUCAGGACAUAGGCAUGGGCAAAGACUUCAUGACAAAGAUGUCAAAAGCAAUAGCAUUUGACCCAACGAUGCCAUUACUGGGUAUAUACCCAAAGGAAUACAAAUCAUUCUAUUAUAAAGAUACAUGCACAUGUAUGUUCACUGCAGCACUAUUCACAAUAGCAAAGACAUGGAAUCAACUUAAAUGCCCGUCAAUAAUAGAUGGGAUAAAGAAAAUGUGGUACAUAUACACCAUGGAAUACUAUGCAGACAUAAAAAGGAAUGAGAUCAUGUCGUUUGCAGGGACAUGGAUGGAGCUAGAAGCCAUUAUCCUCAGAAAACUAACACAGGAACAGAAAACCAAAUACCACAUGUUCUCACUUAUAAGUGGGAGCUGAAUGAUGAGAACACAUGGACACGUGGUGCGGGAACAAUACACCUGGGGCCUGUUGGAGGGUGGGGGCUGGGAGGAGGGAGAGCAUCAAGAAUAGCUAAUGAGGCCAGGCACAGUGGCUCACGCCUGUAAUCCUAGCAUUUUGGGAGGCUGAGGCGGGCAGAUCAUUUGAGGUCAGGAGUUUGAGACCAGCCUGGCCAAUAUGGUGAAACCCCGUCUCUAUUAAAAAUACAAAAAUAUUAGCCAGGCAUGGUGGCAAUGCCCGUAGUCCCUGCAACUUGGGAGGCUGAGGCAGGAGAAUCGUUUGAACCUGGGAGGUGGAGUUUGCAGUGAGCCAAGAUCGCGCCACUGCACUCCAGCCUGGGCGACAGAGUGAGGCUCCAUUAAAAAAAAAAAAAAAAAAAGAAGAGCAAAUGAAUGCUGGGCAUAAUAUCUAGAUGAUGGGAUGAUCUGUGCAGCAAACCACUAUGGCACAUGUUUACCUAUGUAACAAACCUGCACAUCCUCCACAUGUACCCCUGAACUUAAGAGUUGGAAAUCAAAAAGAAAAAAGGUAUUAACUCAAAAUAAAAACAGUGUGUACUAUUUUUCUAAUCAGCAAAUGUUAUUUUAUUUUUUACUAUUAUUUUUAGAGUCGAUAUCUUGCUCUGUCACACAGUCUGGAGUGCAGUGGCAUGAUUAGCUUUGAAUUCCUGUUCAAGUGAUCCUCCCACCUCAGUCUCCAGAGUAGCUAGGGCUACAGGCAGUGCUGCCACACCUGGAUAAUUUUUAAAUUUUUUAUAGAGUUGGGGUCUUGCUAUGUUGCCCAGGCUUGUCUCAGACUCCUGGCCUUAAGUGAUCCUCCUGCCUCUGUCUUCUGAGUCGCUGGAUUACAGGUAUGAGCCACCAUGCUCAGCAGAAAAUUAAAUUUUUUUUUAACAAGUCAUUAGUUCCUGGGAAUUCUAUUUCACUUCCAAAUCCACCUCAUUUUGCAGUGCCCUGUUCUUAGUAGUCCUGGUUUAGGAAGAGUCGUGUUUCACAUGAUCAAGGUAGCCAACACAAUGAAAGUUGAGUUCACAGAGUAUUUAUUUAUUUUGGUCCCUCACAGAGUAUCUAUUUAUUUUUGGUCCCUCACAGAGUAUUUGUUUAUUUUUGUUCCCUCAAAUAAUUCAGCACAAUUAAAUUCAGCAAAUAUUUAUUGAACACUUGGAGAUGAUGAUGGAAAAUUAUGUUCACAUGGUGCCAUUUGGUACAACGGAAAUGGCAUGAGAUUUGGACCAAACCAGAAUUGUCUUAAAUCCUGGCUUUGUUAGUUUUAGGUAUGUCAUCUUGAGCAGUUCACUUCACUUUUUGAGCCACAAUUUCUCUUCCUUACAUAAAGAUAUUUAUAAAUACCCCACAGGUUGUUAUAAUAAAGGUUGAAGAUGCUUGGCACAUAAGCAAAAAUUAUGAAUAAAUAUGUAUUAAAAUAUAAAAUAACUACAAAAUAAAAUAAAAAUAUUGUUUUUCUCACCACAUGUCAGUAUCUUUACACAUAUAAUCUAAUUUUAUCCUUACAGGAUUGCUAGCCUGGUGUG
rnacentral:lncRNA from 1 species